AUCAACGCUGGCGGCGUGCCUAACACAUGCAAGUCGAACGAGAAAGGGGAGCAAUCCCUGAGUAAAGUGGCGACCGGGUGAGUAACACGUGACUAACCUACCUUCGAGUGGGGGAUAACCUCGGGAAACCGGGGCUAAUACCGCAUAAUGCCUUCGGGUUAAAGGAGCAAUUCGCUUGAAGAGGGGGUCGCGGCUGAUUAGCUAGUUGGCGGGGUAACGGCCCACCAAGGCAAUGAUCGGUAGCCGGCCUGAGAGGGCGCACGGCCACACUGGAACUGAAACACGGUCCAGACUCCUACGGGAGGCAGCAGUGGGGAAUUUUGCGCAAUGGGGGAAACCCUGACGCAGCAACGCCGCGUGAGGAUGAAGUCCCUUGGGACGUAAACUCCUUUCGACCGGGACGAUGAUGACGGUACCGGUGGAAGAAGCCCCGGCUAACUUCGUGCCAGCAGCCGCGGUAAUACGAGGGGGGCGAGCGUUGUUCGGAAUUAUUGGGCGUAAAGGGCGCGUAGGCGGUGCGGUAAGUCAUCUGUGAAACCUCUGGGCUUAACUCAGAGCCUGCAGGCGAAACUGCCGUGCUGGAGUGUGGGAGAGGUGCGUGGAAUUCCCGGUGUAGCGGUGAAAUGCGUAGAUAUCGGGAGGAACACCUGUGGCGAAAGCGGCGCACUGGACCACAACUGACGCUGAGACGCGAAAGCUAGGGGAGCAAACAGGAUUAGAUACCCUGGUAGUCCUAGCCCUUAAACGAUGGCAUGCUAGGUGUCCGGGUAUUGACCAAUCCCUGGGUGCCGCAGCUAACGCGAUUAAGCAUCCCGCCUGGGGAGUACGGUCGCAAGGAUGAAAACUCAAAGGAAUUGACGGGGGCCCGCACAAGCGGUGGAGCAUGUGGUUCAAUUCGACGCAACGCGAAGAACCUUACCUGGGCUAGACAGCGCAGUGGACCGGGCCUAGAAAUAUUUCCCUUCGGGGACCGCUGCGGUCAGGUGCUGCAUGGCUGUCGUCAGCUCGUGUCGUGAGGAUGUUGGGUUAAGUCCCGCAACGAGCGCAACCCUCGUCCUUAGUUGCCAUCCAGGUCAAGCUGGGCACUCUAGUGAAACUGCCGGCUUAAGCCGGGAGGAAGGUGGGGACUGACGUCAAGUCAUCAUGGCCCUUAUGUCCAGGGCCUACACACGUGCUACAAUGGUCGGUACAAACGGUCGCAAACCCGCGAGGGGGAGCUAAUCCGAAAAAGCCGACUCUCAGUUCGGAUUGGAGUCUGCAACUCGACUCCAUGAAGUUGGAAUCGCUAGUAAUCGCAGAUCAGCACGCCUGCGGUGAAUACGUUCCCGGGCCUUGUACACACCGCCCGUCACAUCCAUGAAGGCCAGCUGUACUAGAAGUCGGUGCGCUAACCCGCAAGGGAGGUAGCCGCCUAUGGUACUGGCCAUGACUGGGGUG
rnacentral:rRNA from 1 species